UUAGUGCUUCGGGAACCGUGAGCACAGGUGCUGCAUUGGCUGUGUCGUCUUGUGAAUGUUGGGUUAAGUCCCGCAACGAGCGCAACCCUUAUCCUUUGUUGCCAGCGAUUCGGUCGGGAACUCAAAGGAGACUGCCGGUGAUAAACCGGAGGAAGGUGGGGAUGACGUCAAGUCAUCAUGGCCCUUACGAGUAGGGCUACACACGUGCUACAAUGGCGCAUACAAAGAGAAGCGACCUCGCGAAAGAAGGCGGAACCUCAUAAAGUGCGUCGUAGAUCCGGAUCGGA
rnacentral:rRNA from 1 species